rnacentral:lncRNA from 1 species
CAGGAAUUAGAAGAAAAAAAAAAAAAAAAAAAAAAAGGGAAAAGAAAAAAAGAAAGAAAGAGAAAAAAGAAACAACCACCGCCCCGGGGGUGAAGCUCCCUCGCUCCCAACUCUACUUCUUGGUCUCCCCCCACCCCCCGCUCCCCCCCCUUCUGCUGCUUCCUCCUCCUCCUCCUCCUCUCGCAGCAGCAGUCACAGCAGCAGCAGCAGCAGCCCAAAGGGGGGGAGAGCCGGGCGGCGGGCGGGCGCGUCCCGGAGCGGCCGCGGCGAGGCUGGGGAGACAGCGAUCGAGGCGGCUAUAGCCACAAUUAAUUUUCCGAGCUACAGGCGCACACUAGGGCUGUAAAAAAAUUUUUGGUUUAACCUUUCCUACCGCUCGGCCAAUCAGAGCCGGCGGCGUGCGGGAGCGUCUCUCCCGCCGUCGACCAAUCGGCGGACCCGGGCCCACCCACCCCCGCCCCGCCCGCCGGCUCCCGCCCCCUCGGCGCUCGCCUCCCCCUCGCCGCGGGCCUGGGCCUCGCGGCCGCGCGGAGCCGCGUAGGGAUACGCCGCCCGGAGCACGCUGCGCCGCGGCCCUCUCGGCGCCCCCGCCACCCCCUCCGCCCUGCGGGCCGCUCCGCCGAGGUCCCCCUCUUAGGGCAGAUAGCUCACAUUUCCGGCUGCCUCCUCGCCGUGUCGGGCCAUUUUCGUUUGAGCGUCAAUGUUUGUCGUUAUUGAUUAAAGUUUGUAUUCCAUUUCAUUUUUAAAAGCGGGGGCGGGGGCGGGGGCGGGGGCGGCCGCGGCGGUGGGGCGGAGAGUGUGGGAGUGCGGGGACGGGGUGCGAGGAGAGGGCAGGAAAUGGAGGAGGAAGAGGCGAGGCGCGACCGGCCCCGAGUCGGCCCUCCAGGCCCGGGGCGGCAUUGCCGAGCCCGUAGGAAAACUGUGCCCCUCAUGCAUAGGGAGUCCCUGACCCCAGGACGUUUGGGAACAAGUGGAACUCAUGCAGAGGCAUCCAGGUAUUUCCAGAGACUGACGAGCCGAGGUCUGCAAUCCCUUCCUAACAGCAGCAAGGAGCUUAAUCCUGUGUUUGGAGUCAGCACCCGCCUGUUGUCGGUACCAACGUCCGCCCCCUAG